rnacentral:ribozyme from 1 species
AAGCUCCUGAGGGAGGGCGGGCGGCUCUUUCGCGAGACUUUUUACAAAGGGUUCACGCACCUCUUCGACCACCUGGG